ensembl:lincRNA uncharacterized LOC106148524
AUUGUAUCAAACAAGAAUCAAGAAUGGAGACCAGUACGGGCAUUGCAAAGACUGAUGGAGCACAAAAUGUACAGAAAGUUGCAAAUUUUCUACCUAUAAAAUCAUUCUACAUUAAUGGAUGGAUUCAUUAAGCAUCUGCUGUUGGGAAUAUUCCUCCUGGAAACAACCAUCAGGCCUUGAAAAACCCAUGCACACCACUGCAGUUCAAGUUCAAGUGGAAUGCCCAUGCAAGAGACGGGAGAGCUGUGUUCCACUGGUUGGAGCUGGACCCUGGAAGAAGGCAAAAGGCAGGAGGCAGCAAGAGCAGCAAGUAGCAGAUAUCACCCGGGAAGCUGCUUCACUACAGUGUGGUUGAAACAACGGUCAUCCUCUAGGCAGGGACUUCAGGGAUUCACUGGAUGGAAGAAAGCACAUGCUCUUGUUUUGGCAGAGGACACCGGUAUUGAACGUGCUGACACCAGUAGCCUGCAUCACAACAGUAGGCUUCCUCCACAAUGUACUUCUACAUGGGUUAAUCGGGG